UUUUGAACAAAACAAUUUAAUUUUCUUGAAUAAAGCUUUUCCUGAUGAUGACCAUGGAAACAGGUCGAAACGUCGAAAUGCAAAUUAGCUUUUACUUCUAAGUUAAUUCAAAACCAGUGGCAUAUUACCCCAG